GGGUUUGAUUCUGGCUCAGAGUGAACGCUAUGGGGUGUGCCUAACACAUGCGAGUCGAAUGAAAAUUAUUUUUCAUGGCGUACGAGUGAGUAAUGCAUUAAUAUAAAAUUUUCGCAGCAAGGAAUUCAGUAUUAACAAUUGUUAUUUUAAAACUCCUUAUAAGUUAAAAUAAAUUAAAAUGAAUUUUAUUUCAUAUUUUUUAUGGGGUAAAGUGGUUUUUAACGACUGCUUCAUUCAAUUUAUUUUAUAUAAAGAUUAAUCGUUGUGAAAAGUAAUUAUUGUAAGAUUAUGGUAGUUGGUUUAAUAAAAGGGGACCAAGCCUGUGAUCUUUAGUUGGUCUGGGAGGACGUACAACCACGUUGGGACUGAAAAGGGCCCAAUCUCUGUUGAGGAGGCAGCAGUGGGGAAUAUUGGACAAUGGGCGAAAGCUUGAUCCAGCAACACCAUGUGGUGAAGACAGAUUAUC
rnacentral:rRNA from 1 species